rnacentral:lncRNA from 1 species
CGUACUUCCCAAACGGCUGAGACACAGAGUUAGGACGAGGGAAGGACGGUUAGUCAGGUGAGCUGUAGCGGAGUGAUUGGCCGGGUGGCCACGCCCUAGCGGGGGAAGAGCUGGCCCGUUGCCGAGGAGUGAGGUGAAGGGAUGCCGCUGCAGGGAGGGAGGGCCUGCCCUUGCGGGGGCCGCAGGUCAUAUCGUUUGUGCCACAGGGGUUGGCGCGACCAUAACGAGCACCCUCCGCCAGCCGAGAAAGAGUUAAGGCGCCGGCGGUGACUGCGGGCCCCGGAUGUGAGGACCGUGGCGCAACGUCUGUGGGCCGCGCUGCAGGUGCGCCGGGGCGGGCGGAGCCAGAGGGCUGACGGCGACCUGACAGUCUGAGGCACCCCCUCCCCUGCAGGGGCCGCUCGGCUUCCUCCUAGAGCGCCUWGUUUUCUAACUUAGGGUCAACAGGUGGUGCGGGUGGACCGGGAGAGAGCCCUGCUCUGCCUCACGGGGAGCGACGGUUACCCUAACCAAUUAGGGCUCGGGGGCGGGAGUGGCAGGGCUGUCCUGAUACGGGUGACCAAUGGGAUUUGGGAUCAUGGGUGGGCCGUGAGGAGUGGGCGUGGUCCUUGUCUGAGUCCAAGGUUUCUAGUGCAGCAACUGCUAGAGCUGCGUGGAGAUCUAAGCCRGACGGACGUGGGGUGCGUUCCCCCCGCAUAGAAACGCCUGCCAAUGGUUUCUCGUUUGGACCCAGACUCCGAUUCCGGAGCAGUCUUGUAGCUGCAUCGCCAAAGAGAUUCCAAAGCAGAAAGAAGAAAACAUUACAAUUUGGG